rnacentral:pre_miRNA from 1 species
UAGGUUUGUCCUAAGUCAAACCCCUUCAAGGUUGAUCAAAAUAAUAGAAAAAUAUAGCAACAUUUCCAACACAAGAUAAAUAUACUAUAAAAAUAUAUUCAAUAGUGGAUUUAAUGAAACAAGUUUGGUGUCGUAAAUGUUACUACAUCUUUCUAGAAACUUGGUUAAACUUAAAGAUGUUUGACUUAGGACAAACCCAA